rnacentral:rRNA from 1 species
AGUGAACGCUGGCGGUAGGCCUAACACAUGCAAGUCGAACGGCAGCACAGUAAGAGCUUGCUCUUACGGGUGGCGAGUGGCGGACGGGUGAGGAAUACAUCGGAAUCUACUUUUUCGUGGGGGAUAACGUAGGGAAACUUACGCUAAUACCGCAUACGACCUACGGGUGAAAGCAGGGGAUCUUCGGACCUUGCGCGAUUGAAUGAGCCGAUGUCGGAUUAGCUAGUUGGCGGGGUAAAGGCCCACCAAGGCGACGAUCCGUAGCUGGUCUGAGAGGAUGAUCAGCCACACUGGAACUGAGAGACGGUCCAGGCUCCUACGGGAGGCAGCAGUGGGGAAUAUUGGACAACGGGCGCAAGCCUGACCCAGCCAUACCGCGUGGGUGAAGAAGGCCUUCGGGUUGUAAAGCCCUUUUGUUGGGAAAGAAAAGCAGCAGGUUAAUACCCCGCUGUUCUGACGGUACCCAAAGAAUAAGCACCGGCUAACUGCGU